AACAAGGCGUACCUGCGGACCUGCGGAGGGAUCAUCAUCGAAUUCAUAUCCUUCUCCCACCGGAGGGGGACCUAUGAUAAACCCUUCUGUGCACCGUAAACCGUUCACUUUGGCAGGCUUUGGUGGUGAGCGUGAGCUCGUCAACCUCGCGUUCCCUCCCUAGGGGGGUUGCGCGUGGCGGCCUGCCGGAGUCCUCCUAUGAAAAACACGUUUUCGAACACGACUGAAAUUUCCUUUGAG
rnacentral:misc_RNA from 1 species